GACAGAGGAGCCAAGCGUUGUCCGGAUUGACUGGGCGUAAAGCGCACGCAGGCGGCUGUGCACGUGGGGUGUGAAAGGUGGCGGCUUAACUGCCACACGCCACCUCAUACGGCACGGCUCGAGCCCGUGAGAGGUCCACGGAAUUGCCGGUGUAGUGGUGAAAUGCGUAGAGAUCCGGAAGAACACCGGUGGCGAAGGCGGU
rnacentral:rRNA from 1 species